GGAAUGUAGUGGGCUUCGGAGGAUAAGACUGAAUCAAAGGGACUGAUAUGACCCCCACCUAAGCAAGGGUUGGAGGUGGUGCCUUCUUUUGACUCUCGCUUGAAGCCUUUAGCUUCUUCUGGGCAUCGACGAUGAACAAAGAGGGUGCCUUUCUCUUCUUCAUUGCAUCCUUCUUCAACUUUUUUAGCUCCUCAAGCCUCAUUUCUGUAAUAAAAAAAAUCAGUAUCUAUUAGAAAAAAAGAUCAAGCAUUAGGA
rnacentral:lncRNA from 1 species